CUAACUUUCAGGAAAUGGCGGAAAAGGUUAGGCAGUAUGGGCUCGACGAUGUGAAACGUUUGAAGACAACAGGAGACUACCCCAAACAACUAUCGAAAUCGGCGAAAUCGGGACUAUGGAAGUAUGCGCUGUAUUUUAAGCUCAUUGGAAUGUGUGCAGCUGUUGGUACAUUGGGAAGUCCAAAGAAGAAGGAAAUCGAGGCGGUUGCAUUUUCAC